UCCCAGACUCCUACGGGAGGCAGCAGUGAGGAAUAUUGGUCAAUGGGCGCGAGCCUGAACCAGCCAAGUCGCGUGAGGGAUGACGGUCCUACGGAUUGUAAACCUCUUUUGCCGGGGAGCAAGCGUGCGUUCGUGAACGCGCGUCGAGAGUACCCGGAGAAAAAGCAUCGGCUAACUCCGUGCCAGCAGCCGCGGUAAUACGGAGGAUGCGAGCGUUAUCCGGAUUUAUUGGGUGUAAAGGGUGCGUAGACGGGAAAACAAGUUAGUUGUGAAAUCCCUCGGCUUAACUGAGGAACUGCAACUAAAACUAUUUUUCUUGAGUGUUGGAGAGGAAAGUGGAAUUCCUAGUGUAGCGGUGAAAUGCGUAGAUAUUAGGAGGAACACCAGUGGCGAAGGCGACUUUCUGGACAAUAACUGACGUUGAGGCACGAAAGUGUGGGGAGCAAACAGGAUUAGAUACCCCGGUAUA
rnacentral:rRNA from 1 species